AGUGAACGCUGGCGGUAGGCCUAACACAUGCAAGUCGAACGGCAGCACAGUAAGAGCUUGCUCUUACGGGUGGCGAGUGGCGGACGGGUGAGGAAUACAUCGGAAUCUACUUUUUCGUGGGGGAUAACGUAGGGAAACUUACGCUAAUACCGCAUACGACCUACGGGUGAAAGCAGGGGAUCUUCGGACCUUGCGCGAUUGAAUGAGCCGAUGUCGGAUUAGCUAGUUGGCGGGGUAAAGGCCCACCAAGGCGACGAUCCGUAGCUGGUCUGAGAGGAUGAUCAGCCACACUGGAACUGAAACACGGUCCAGACUCCUACGGGAGGCAGCAGUGGGGAAUAUUGGACAAUGGGCGCAAGCCUGAUCCAGCCAUACCGCGUGGGUGAAGAAGGCCUUCGGGUUGUAAAGCCCUUUUGUUGGGAAAGAAAAGCAGCAGGUUAAUACCCCGCUGUUCUGACGGUACCCAAAGAAUAAGCACGGGCUAACUUCGUG
rnacentral:rRNA from 1 species